rnacentral:tRNA from 1 species
GUGGAUGUAGCUCAGUCGGUAGAGCCCCGGAUUGUGAUUCCGGUGGUCGCGGGUUCGAUCCCCGUCAUCCACCCCA